CCUACGGGUGGCAGCAGUGGGGAAUAUUGGGCAAUGGGCGCAAGCCUGACCCAGCAACGCCGCGUGAAGGAAGAAGGCUUUCGGGUUGUUAACUUCUUUUAAGAGGGAAGAGCAGAAGACGGUACCUCUUGAAUAAGCCACGGCUAACUACGUGCCAGCAGCCGCGGUAAUACGUAGGUGGCAAGCGUUGUCCGGAUUUACUGGGUGUAAAGGGCGUGCAGCCGGGAAGACAAGGCAGAUGGGAAAUCCCGGGGCUCAAACGCUGAACUGCAUUUGAAACUGGUUUUCUUGAGUACCGGAGAGGUCAUCGGAAUGCCUGGUGUAGCGGUGAAAUGCGUAGAUAUAAGGAAGAACACCAGUGGCGAAGGCGGAUGACUGGACGGCAACUGACGGUGAGGCGCGAAAGCGUGGGGAGCAAACAGGAUUAGAUACCCGUGUAGUC
rnacentral:rRNA from 1 species